GACGAACGCUGGCGGCGUGCCUAAUACAUGCAAGUCGAGCGGACGAAUCGAAAGCUUGCUUUUGAUUCGUUAGCGGCGGACGGGUGAGUAACACGUGGGCAACCUGCCCUGUAGACGGGGAUAACACCGAGAAAUCGGUGCUAGUACCGGAUAACACGAAAUGUCGCAUGACGUUUCGUUGAAAGACGGCGCAAGCUGCCGCUACAGGAUGGGCCCGCGGCGCAUUAGCUAGUUGGUGAGGUAACGGCUCACCAAGGCGACGAUACGUAGCCGACCUGAGAGGGUGAUCGGCCACACUGGGACUGAGACACGGCCCAGACUCCUACGGGAGGCAGCAGUAGGGAAUCUUCCGCAAUGGACGAAAGUCUGACGGAGCAACGCCGCGUGAGCGAAGAAGGCCUUCGGGUCGUAAAGCUCUGUUGUUAGGGAAGAACAAGUAACGCAGUAACUGGCGUUACCGUGACGGUACCUAACGAGAAAGCCACGGCUAACUACGUG
rnacentral:rRNA from 1 species